rnacentral:rRNA from 2 species
GGUGACAAACCGGAGGAAGGUGGGGAUGACGUCAAAUCAUCAUGCCCCUUAUGACCUGGGCUACACACGUGCUACAAUGGAUGGUACAACGAGUUGCGAACUCGCGAGAGUAAGCUAAUCUCUUAAAGCCAUUCUCAGUUCGGAUUGUAGGCUGCGCAACCCUUAUUAUCAGUUGCCAGCAUUAAGUUGGGCACUCUGGUGAGACUGCCGGUGACAAACCGGAGGAAGGUGGGGAUGACGUCAAAUCAUCAUGCCCCUUAUGACCUGGGCUACACACGUGCUACAAUGGAUGGUACAACGAGUUGCGAACUCGCGAGAGUAAGCUAAUCUCUUAAAGCCAUUCUCAGUUCGGAUUGUAGGCUGCAACUCGCCUACAUGAAGUCGGAAUCGCUAGUAAUCGCGGAUCAGCAUGCCGCGGUGAAUACGUUCCCAGCGGUGGAGCAUGUGGUUUAAUUCGAAGCUACGCGAAGAACCUUACCAGGUCUUGACAUACUAUGCAAAUCUAAGAGAUUAGACGUUCCCUUCGGGGACAUGGAUACAGGUGGUGCAUGGUUGUCGUCAGCUCGUGUCGUGAGAUGUUGGGUUAAGUCCCGCAACGAGCGCAACCCUUAUUAUCAGUUGCCAGCAUUAAGUUGGGCACUCUGGUGAGACUGCCGGUGACAAACCGGAGGAAGGUGGGGAUGACGUCAAAUCAUCAUGCCCCUUAUGACCUGCAGGUCUUGACAUACUAUGCAAAUCUAAGAGAUUAGACGUUCCCUUCGGGGACAUGGAUACAGGUGGUGCAUGGUUGUCGUCAGCUCGUGUCGUGAGAUGUUGGGUUAAGUCCCGCAACGAGCGCAACCCUUAUUAUCAGUUGCCAGCAUUAAGUUGGGCACUCUGGUGAGACUGCCGGUGACAAACCGGAGGAAGGUGGGGAUGACGUCAAAUCAUCAUGCCCCUUAUGACCUGGGCUACACACGUGCUACAAUGGAUGGUACAACGAGUUGCGAACUCGCGAGAGUAAGCUAAUCUCUUAAAGCCAUUCUCAGUUCGGAUUGUAGGCUGCAACUCGCCUACAUGAAGUCGGAAUCGCUAGUAAUCGCGGAUCAGCAUGCCGCGGUGAAUACGUUCCCGGGCCUUGUACACACCGCCCGUCACACCAUGAGAGUUUGUAACACCCAAAGUCGGUGGGGUAACCUUUUAGGAACCAGCCGCCUAAGGUGGGACAGAUGAUUAGGGUGAAGUCGUAACAAGGGGCUCGAAAGUAUGGGUAGCAAACAGGAUUAGAUACCCUGGUAGUCCAUACCGUAAACGAUGAAUGCUAAGUGUUGGAGGGUUUCCGCCCUUCAGUGCUGCAGCUAACGCAUUAAGCAUUCCGCCUGGGGAGUACGGCCGCAAGGCUGAAACUCAAAGGAAUUGACGGGGGCCCGCACAAGCGGUGGAGCAUGUGGUUUAAUUCGAAGCUACGCGAAGAUCCUUACCAGGUCUUGACAUACACGCAUUAAGCAUUCCGCCUGGGGAGUACGGCCGCAAGGCUGAAACUCAAAGGAAUUGACGGGGGCCCGCA